UACGUAGGCAGCAAGCGUUGUUCGGAGUUACUGGGCGUAAAGGGUGUGUAGGCGGUCCUCUAAGUCUGGUGUGAAAUCUCCCGGCUCAACUGGGAGGGUGCGCCGGAAACUGGAGGGCUAGAGUACUGGAUGGGAGAGUGGAAUUCCUGGUGUAGCGGUGAAAUGCGUAGAUAUCAGGAGGAACACCGGUGGUGUAGACGGCUCUCUGGACAGUAACUGACGCUGAGACACGAAAGCGUGGGUAGCAAACAGG
rnacentral:rRNA from 1 species